rnacentral:rRNA from 1 species
CGGUGGAGCAUGGGGUUUAAUUGGUCACUAACCGAAGAACCUUACCCAGGCUUGACAUCCCCGGACCGGCGGUGAAAGCGCUCCCGGCCGGAACAGGUGUGACGAGCGCAACCCUCACUUCCUGUUGCCAGCGGGAUGUCAAGUGGCAUGGCCCUUACGCCUGGGCUACAUACAUGGGGCGGACAAGGGCUGCAAGAGCGCAAGCUGGAGCGUCCCAAAAACCGCCUCUCAGUUGGGAUUGGGGUGCAACUCGACCCCAUGAACGCGGAAUCGCUAGUAACCGCGGUCAGCCAAACGGCGGUGAAUCCGUUCCCGGGCCUUGUACACACCGCCGUCACGUCACCUGAGUCUGCUGCACCCGAAGCUGGGGGCCUAACCCAAGGCUCGUCCUGGGAGGGACCCAGCGAAG